AAUUCUUAUAGUAGUUGGAGGAUUUAAAUUAUUAGAAAAAGUAGUAUCACUACAUAAACAUUAUUCGAAAAUUCUUAGAGAUUGAUAUAGCAUCCAGGAAGAGGCAGAUACUAGGAUAAUUUUGCAUGCAAUAUACGAAAAGGAAUUGAUGUUUUUGUACAACUUGGGCACGGCUCUAAUAGAAGAUUUAUUUCAAUAAAAAAGAGGUGGUUCAAAGUUCAAAGUUUGGGAACUAAAGUUUGCUCUUGCCUUCUCUGGCACUCCAUUGCUUUACUGGUUGUGACACCACAAGUUUUUUUUAAUUGGUUGUUUUUCUUUACAAAAACAAAGGCAAGGAAAUUCAAAAAUUAAAUGACCUAAGAAUAAAACUGGCGACAACAACAAACAAACCGUGUUCGGAGCUUCCUCCAACUGAAGGUGUAUGUAUCAACUUAAAAUAUGGUACAAGAGCAAUAUACCAAGACCUCUUAUAAAUGCAGAGAAUUCAGGAUGGAAUUUAACUAAAGAGGUUGUCUCCCAUAUUUACCAAUGACACGCCGAUUCCCGAUAUUGU